CAAGAACUCGACCUAAAAUUAAUCAAGGAAGAAGUAAAAUUAUUUCAGAAAAUCUGUCCUAAACAAAAAUGUUUCUUUUCUCAAAAAAUAUCGAAGCAGUUGAGCAAAUACUCGUAUACACCGAAGAAUUUUUGACAGUUUCACAAUCUUUAAGGACAACCAAAAAUAACAGACAAAUUUGAAUUUGUUUUACUUUUUCUAUUCUGAUUCAUCAACUUUUGCUGAGGUGAGUGUGUUCCAAGAAUUCACUGAAAAAGAAGAAAAUAACUUUUCUAUGGCUGCCCUGCCCUUUAAGUAACUCACUUUGGCUUGAAGAUAAAUUGGCUACUUUAGACAUGGAGAUAAUGGAUAAUCGAUGUUGCUGUUUUCUCUAUCAAUAUAAUUGUUGCAGGAGCAACAUGAAAAUACGAUGCCAGCAGAGGACGUUGGUAUUUAGGUUUUCUAAGCAACUAGUAUGGUGUUGCAUAUACAACGAGGAAAAUCCCAUUAAAAAUGCUGAAAGACAUUUAGAAGACUACAAGACUGACUGCUUGAAAGAAGACAUGAUGUGAAGCGUCACCCUAUACAAAAUUUUUCGCUAUGAAUGCAAAAUGCAUCCAAUGGCCGUGGGGGUCGCUUCAAGCAAUAGAAAGAAGAGGAAGAAGAACUUUAAGAAUUUUAUAGUGCAACUAAUAAAAUUCAUUUGUUGCACAGAGAAAAAGAGAGAAGCAAAGAGACUAAAAAGUGACCUACUCACUUGCAUCGUAAAAUAGGUUUCAUAUUAUUCCAAUUUUAAUUGAAAAUAUACGGAAAACUAAGAAGAAUUUUCCACUGAAUUAAUAUAAAAAUAUAUCAUGACAUAAUUUCGUUUUCAUUAUGUUCCACGUUCCUUAGAGAGAACACCAUCAUAAACACAUGUUAUUCUCAUUCAAACAACGUUGUAGCGCUGUUUGAUGUAAAUAUUUUAAAUUCCGGGCCAAACAACAAGCUUUUGAAAAAAUAUAAUUAACAGAUACAAAAUAUUAUAGA